rnacentral:rRNA from 1 species
CGGGUGAGUAACGCGUAUCCAACCUGCCUUACACUCUUGGACAGCCUUCUGAAAGGGAGAUUAAUACAAGAUGUUAUCAUGAGUAAGCAUUUUCGCAUGAUUAAAGGUUUACCGGUGUAAGAUGGGGAUGCGUUCCAUUAGAUAGUAGGCGGGGUAACGGCCCACCUAGUCUUCGAUGGAUAGGGGUUCUGAGAGGAAGGUCCCCCACAUUGGAACUGAGACACGGUCCAAACUCCUACGGGAGGCAGCAGUGAGGAAUAUUGGUCAAUGGACGAGAGUCUGAACCAGCCAAGUAGCGUGAAGGAUGAAGGUUCUAUGGAUUGUAAACUUCUUUUAUACGGGAAUAAACGGAUCCACGUGUGGAUUUUUGCAUGUACCGUAUGAAUAAGGAUCGGCUAACUCCGUGCCAGCAGCCGCGGUAAUACGGAGGAUCCGAGCGUUAUCCGGAUUUAUUGGGUUUAAAGGGAGCGUAGAUGGGUUGUUAAGUCAGUUGUGAAAGUUUGCGGCUCAACCGUAAAAUUGCAAUUGAUACUGGCAGUCUUGAGUACAGUUGAGGUAGGCGGAAUUCGUGGUGUAGCGGUGAAAUGCUUAGAUAUCACGAAGAACUCCGAUUGCGAAGGCAGCUUACUAACCUGUAACUGACAUUGAUGCUCGAAAGUGUGGGUAUCAAACAGGAUUAGAUACCCUGGUAGUCCACACGGUAAACGAUGAAUACUCGCUGUAGGCGAUAUACAGUCUGCGGCCAAGCGAAAGCAUUAAGUAUUCCACCUGGGGAGUACGCCGGCAACGGUGAAACUCAAAGGAAUUGACGGGGGCCCGCACAAGCGGAGGAACAUGUGGUUUAAUUCGAUGAUACGCGAGGAACCUUACCCGGGCUUAAAUUGCAACCGAAUAUGGCGGAAACGCUAUAGCUAGCAAUAGCGGUUGUGAAGGUGCUGCAUGGUUGUCGUCAGCUCGUGCCGUGAGGUGUCGGCUUAAGUGCCAUAACGAGCGCAACCCUUGCCGAUAGUUACUAACAGGUUAUGCUGAGGACUCUGUCGGGACUGCCAUCGUAAGAUGUGAGGAAGGUGGGGAUGACGUCAAAUCAGCACGGCCCUUACGUCCGGGGCUACACACGUGUUACAAUGGGGGGUACAGAGGGCUGCUACCACGCAAGUGGAUGCCAAUCCCAAAAACCUCUCUAAGUUCGGAUUGAAGUCUGCAACCCGACUUCAUGAAGCUGGAUUCGCUAGUAAUCGCGCAUCAGCCAAGG